rnacentral:rRNA from 1 species
UUAGAGGCAAACGGGUGGACCCGCAAUACGUCGACCCGGGGGAUUCAACCAGGCCGUGCGUUCGGGACGCGUGGGGGUUAUGCGGAGCUGUAAAGCCCGUGCCUUUGCGUAGGUCUCCGGGCGGACUGGUGCACUUUCCCCGGGUUGAUUGCCACGACCGGCUCUCCGUGCGGCCACAAGCCUUUGCUGGGAAGGUGACCGUCGGCAUCCACGCCGGCGGUGUUAUAGACCAGCUUGUUCGUUGAGCUCGUCGGAGGGCCGAGGAAGUGUUGCCGUUUCUCAGCCACCCUCCGGCCAUCCUUGCUCGUCACGACUGGGGUGAACUGCUUCGUCAGUGCUCUCCCGACCGCGAGCGUAGGAAGGGCUGGUACGGUGCGAGAAAGCUUCGGGCCAGUGGCGAAUCGGUCGGUCCUCCACCCGACCCGUCUUGAA